AUUGAACGCUGGCGGCAGGCCUAACACAUGCAAGUCGAACGAGUGGCGGACGGGUGAGUAAUGUCUGGGAAACUGCCUGAUGGAGGGGGAUAACUACUGGAAACGGUAGCUAAUACCGCAUACCAUCAGAUGUGCCCAGAUGGGAUUAGCUUGUUGGUGGGGUAACGGCUCACCAAGGCGACGGUCCCUAGCUGGUCUGAGAGGAUGACCAGCCAAACGGGAACUGAGACACGGGCCAGACUCCUACGGGGGGGAGGAGGGGGGAAUAUUGGAAAAGGGGCGCAAGCCGGAUGGAGACAGGCCGGGGGGAGGGAGAAGGCCUGUGGGGUGUAAAGGAAUUUAAGAGGGGAGGAGGUACCCGAAGAAGAAGCAACGGCUAACUCCGUGCCAGCAGGCGCGGUAAUAA
rnacentral:rRNA from 1 species